ACGUGAGUAACCUGCCCCAGACUCUGGGAUAACCCCGAGAAAUCGGAGCUAAUACCGGAUACGAGACGCACGGGCAUCUGUAGCGUCUGGAAAGAAUUUCGGUCUGGGAUGGACUCGCGGCCUAUCAGCUUGUUGGUGAGGUAACGGCUCACCAAGGCGACGACGGGUAGCCGGCCUGAGAGGGCGACCGGCCACACUGGGACUGAGACACGGCCCAGACUCCUACGGGAGGCAGCAGUGGGGAAUAUUGCACAAUGGGCGCAAGCCUGAUGCAGCGACGCCGCGUGGGGGAUGAAGGCCUUCGGGUUGUAAACCCCUUUCAGCAGGGAAGAAGCGAAAGUGACGGUACCUGCAGAAGAAGCGCCGGCUAACUACGUGCCAGCAGCCGCGGUAAUACGUAGGGCGCAAGCGUUGUCCGGAAUUAUUGGGCGUAAAGAGCUCGUAGGCGGUUUGUCGCGUCUGCUGUGAAAACCCGAGGCUCAACCUCGGGCCUGCAGUGGGUACGGGCAGACUAGAGUGCGGUAGGGGAGACUGGAAUUCCUGGUGUAGCGGUGGAAUGCGCAGAUAUCAGGAGGAACACCGAUGGCGAAGGCAGGUCUCUGGGCCGCAACUGACGCUGAGGAGCGAAAGCAUGGGGGAGCGAACAGGAUUAGAUACCCUGGUAGUCCAUGCCGUAAACGUUGGGCACUAGGUGUGGGGCUCAUUCCACGAGUUCCGUGCCGCAGCAAAACGCAUUAAGUGCCCCGCCUGGGGAGUACGGCCGCAAGGCUAAAACUCAAAGGAAUUGACGGGGGCCCGCACAAGCGGCGGAGCAUGCGGAUUAAUUCGAUGCAACGCGAAGAACCUUACCAAGGCUUGACAUAUACCGAAAACUCGUGGAGACACGGGGUCCGCAAGGGCGGUAUACAGGUGGUGCAUGGUUGUCGUCAGCUCGUGUCGUGAGAUGUUGGGUUAAGUCCCGCAACGAGCGCAACCCUCGUCCUAUGUUGCCAGCACGUCAUGGUGGGGACUCAUAGGAGACUGCCGGGGUCAACUUGGAGGAAGGUGGGGAAGACGUCAAAUCAUCAUGCCCCUUAUGUCUUGGGCUUCACGCAUGCUACAAUGGCCGGUACAAAGGGGUGCGAUACCGCAAGGCGGAGCGAAUCUCAAA
rnacentral:rRNA from 1 species